CCUACGGGUGGCUGCAGUGAGGAAUAUUGGUCAAUGGACGGGAGUCUGAACCAGCCAAGCAGCGUGAGGGAUGACUGUCCAGUGGAUCGUAAACCUCUUUUGUCUGGGAAUAAAGUGUUGGACGCGUGGGAGGUUGUGUGUACCUGAAGAAAAAGGAUCGGCUAACUCCGUGCCAGCAGCCGCGGUAAUACGGAGGAUCCGAGCGUUAUCCGGAGUUAUUGGGUUUAAAGGGUGCGCAGGUGGAUUGUUAAGUCAGUGGUGAAAGUUCGGGGUUCAACCCUGAAAUUGCCGUUGAAACUGGCAGUCUCGAGUAGGGGAGAGGUGGGCGGAAUGCGUGGUGUAGCGGUGAAAUGCAUAGAUAUCGCGCAGAACUCCGAUUGCGAAGGCAGCAUGCUGG
rnacentral:rRNA from 1 species